CGGAUCGCAGGCUGCAACCCGCCUGCGUGAAGUCGGAAUCGCUAGUAAUCGCGGAUCAGCAUGCCGCGGUGAAUACGUUCCCGGGCCUUGUACACACCGCCCGUCACACCAUGAGAGUCGGGAACACCCGAAGCCCGUAGCCUAACUUGCAAGAGAGGGCGCGGUCGAAGGUGGGUUCGAUAAUUGGGGUGAAGUCGUAACAAGGUAUC
rnacentral:rRNA from 1 species